rnacentral:sRNA from 2 species
AAAUAAACCUUAUUGUAGCGGCUAUCCUUUUUGCUGCAGGGCCAAACAAACAGCAAUAACAUUCGCAAAAAGAUAGAAGCGGAAAGAAGGACUGCCG